GGGCUUUGGCAAGCGCGUACGCUAAAUUGGAUAUGAUACAGAGAAGAUUAGCAUGGCCCCUGCGCAAGGAAGUGGGCUUGAAUACUCUCAGAUGGAAAACAUGAUA
ensembl:snRNA U6 U6 spliceosomal RNA